rnacentral:rRNA from 1 species
AACGAACGCUGGCGGCAGGCUUAACACGUGCAAGUCGAGCGCCUCGCAAGGGGAGCGGCAGACGGGUGAGUAACGCGUGGGAAUCUCCCGUACUCUACGGAAUAACGCAUGGAAACGUGUGCUAAUACCGUAUACGCCCUCCGGGGGAAAGAUUUAUCGGGGUAUGAUGAGCCCGCGUUGGAUUAGCUAGUUGGUGGGGUAAAGGCCUACCAAGGCGACAAUCCAUAGCUGGUCUGAGAGGAUGAUCAGCCACAUUGGGACUGAGACACGGCCCAAACUCCUACGGGAGGCAGCAGUGGGGAAUAUUGGACAAUGGGCGCAAGCCUGAUCCAGCCAUGCCGCGUGAGUGAUGAAGGCCCUAGGGUUGUAAAGCUCUUUCACCGAUGAAGAUAAUGACGGUAGUCGGAGAAGAAGCCCCGGCUAACUUCGUGCCAGCCGCCGCCGUAA